GUGCUUGAACCCUCAGCACACAUACAAAAAAAUGGAGUGGUCCCAAGAUGAUUAGCAUGACAUGGACCCUGCAUGAGGAUGACAUGCAAAUUCCAUAUUUAGACAUAAAUUCU
rnacentral:snRNA from 1 species